ensembl:lncRNA
AUUAAUUGAUGUGCCUUGAAAUGCACGGUGGCAGCGCUAAGCACUCAUCCUCAGUAGACACAACUUGAUAUUCUGUUGGUGAAACCACUUUAUUUUAGCCUGGCUGUGAUUGGCCACGUACAGUCCCGAGUGUCUGCUUUGUACAGUAAAAGCAAAGAGCCAUGAGAAAAAGAAAGAAAUCCAACUGCUUGCCCACCACUCCUGCAGCCCACCCCACAACCACCUUCGCUAUCUGCAAGGCUGACUUCCAAACUCUGCCUUUCAUAUUAGAAAUGAUUAAUUCCCAUUCUCGCCCAGAACAAAAGGACCUACAGCUGGCCUUGCGCUCAGCGAGGAACACCAAGAAAAAAGGGAAACGUAAAUCUUUCACUGCUUGCCAUUCUAUAAGGAGCAAAAAUUAUUUCCUGAGCAAAACCAACACAGGAAUACACAGCUGGAAUGGAGCAAACUCUACUUUUACCUCUUAAGAUGAAGAGGUAUGAAGGAAAAUGAGAAAUAUCAAUAGUUGUAAAUAGUUUCAUUGAUCAGUGUAGUAGGGAAGGGAGAAGGAUCGAUGAAG